rnacentral:rRNA from 1 species
UACGUAGGGUGCGAGCGUUGUCCGGAAUUAUUGGGCGUAAAGGGCUCGUAGGCGGUUUGUCGCGUCGGGAGUGAAAACCCGAGGCUUAACCUCGGGCCUGCAUUCGAUACGGGCAGACUAGAGUGAUGUAGGGGAGACUGGAAUUCCUGGUGUAGCGGUGAAAUGCGCAGAUAUCAGGAGGAACACCGGUGGCGAAGGCGGGUCUCUGGGCCGAUACUGACGCUGAGGUGCGAAAGCGUGGGGAGCAAACAGG